rnacentral:lncRNA from 1 species
UUGUUGGUAUCGUAGGGGGUAAUUUUCGAAGAGUAUUGCGCAGCGGAAAUAAUACUCAGAGAGCGUAAAGCGUAUUAGGUCACAGUUAAAAUGAUUUUAGCCCUUUUUAGCAAAAAUAAUUUUCUUUCAGAAAAUUAGCCAAACAGUUGAUGUGCGUUAAAUAAAAUGAGUGUAGGGAAUAGAAAAAUCACACAAGUAUUUUUAUACUGGUUCGAUUCAACAGAGUCUACGUCCAG